GAUGAAGAACGUAGCGAAAUGCGAUAAGUAAUGUGAAUUGCAGAAUUCAGUGAAUCAUCGAAUCUUUGAACGCACAUUGCGCCCCCUGGUAUUCCGGGGGGCAUGCCUGUUCGAGCGUCAUUUCACCACUCAAGCCUCGCUUGGUAUUGGGCAUCGCGGUCCGCCGCGCGCCUCAAAUCGACCGGCUGGGUCUUCUGUCCCCUAAGCGUUGUGGAAACUAUUCGCUAAAGGGUGUUCGGGAGGCUACGCCGUAAAACAACCCCAUUUCUAAGGUUGACCUCGGAUCAGGUAGGGAUACCCGCUGAACUUAAGCAUAUCAAAAGCGGAGA
rnacentral:misc_RNA from 1 species